GACGAACGCUGGCGGCGUGCUUAACACAUGCAAGUCGAACGGAAAGGCCCUGCUUUUGUGGGGUGCUCGAUUGGCGAACGGGUGAGUAACACGUGAGUAACCUGCCCUUGACUUUGUGAUAACUUCAGGAAACUGGGGCUAAUACCGGAUAUGAGCUCCUGCUGCAUGUGGGGGGUUGGAGAGUUUCGGCGGUUGGGGAUGGACUCGCGGCUUAUCAGCUUGUUUGUGGGGUAGUUGCUUACCAAGGCUUUGACGGGUAGCCGGCAUGAGAGGGUGACCGGCCACAUUGGGACUGAGAUACGGCCCAGAAUCCUACGGGAGGCAGCAGUGGGGAAUAUUGCACAAUGGGCGGAAGCCUGAUGCAGCAACGCCGCGUGCGGGAUGACGGCCUUCGGGUUGUAAACCGCUUUCGCCUGUGACGAAGCGUGAGUGACGGUAAUGGGUAAAGAAGCACCGGCUAACUACGUG
rnacentral:rRNA from 1 species